CACGUAGGGCGCAAGCGUUGUCCGGAAUUAUUGGGCGUAAAGAGCUCGUAGGCGGUCUGUUACGUCUGCUGUGAAAACCCGGGGCUUAACCCUGGGCUUGCAGUGGAUACGGGCAGACUAGAGGCAGGUAGGGGAGAAUGGAAUUCCCGGUGUAGCGGUGAAAUGCGCAGAUAUCGGGAGGAACACCGGUGGCGAAGGCGGUUCUCUGGGCCUUACCUGACGCUGAGGCGCGAAAGCUAGGGGAGCAAACAGG
rnacentral:rRNA from 1 species